rnacentral:lncRNA from 1 species
GUGGGGCUCCUCCAGCACCUCGAAGAUCGCGGCCCCGAUGGACAGGUAGAAGAUGAUGGCCGAGGUUCAGCGUAAUUUCUCGUUUUCGACGCCGGCAGGCUGUGAAACGAGGGCUGUGGCUUUCCCGGAUGCGUGGAAGCGUGGGGGAAAGGUGGGAAUGGUCCAUCCAGAUCACCUUUUAAUAUGAAUCACAGCUCUGUUGAACUCC